CCAGGCCUAAAAGUAAACAGUACUGAUAGGGUCACGGAGAGCUGGAGCCUAACCCAGCAACGCAGGACGCAAGGCUGGAGGGGGAGGAGGAGAUACAUCCAGGACAGGACGCCAGUCUGUCGCAAGGCACCCCAAGCAGGACUCGAACCCCAGACCCACCAGAGAGCAGGACCUGGUCAAACCUGUGCCACCGCACCCCCACUGGGGGCACUUUUCAGCUUUUCUGUAAUAUUAGGGAAAAGUGUUUACAGUAUUCAAAACAUUGAAAUUACAAUAAGUGGCAAAGUUUUGAGAAUAAGCACUCUUACAUUAGUUUUCAUAUCAUAAGUGAACAUCUGUCCUAACACGUCUUUGGGUGCAGCCAUUCUCAGUAACGGCGGAAGAAUAAUUCACUAAAAUGAAGAAGUCCCCAAAAAUACAAUACACAUUUGCUGAAACUUGGCGGAGCAAGUUUAAUUAGUAUUUUAACCAGCGUAUUCAGUAAUGUUAACAUAUUGUUAUAUACCACUUAAUAUGCAGUAGUCUAUUUACAAUUAUUAAUGGUUCACAGUCCGCUGUCAAUGAGGAGCUGUUGCAAAUAGUAAAUGUAACUUGACAGAUUGUGAGGCAAAUUAUAUCAAUAUUAAGUGUGAAAAAUUUGAAACUAAUGAGAACUGGGUGACAGAAAUGUAAGAUUAAAAUAAUUUACAAAUGUAAGUAUCAAUGCCCAGAUGUACUCUGAAAAGUUUAGUCAGAAAAUUAUGUAAGUUCACGUGAUGGCAACUAUACUUUAAUUUCUUUUAGGACGUUUUUCCUGGAGUCCUUAGGAAACAUGUUUGUAUGCAUAUGUAAAUACUUAGUCGAGUGUUAUAGACAUUUGAAAUGAACAUGAACAGCAUGUUUUCAUAAUGUAGAGGCAACCUACAAAAACACGGUGAAUAUA
rnacentral:lncRNA from 1 species